GGAUCAUUACCGAGUGCGGGUCCUUUGGGCCCAACCUCCCAUCCGUGUCUAUUGUACCCUGUUGCUUCGGCGGGCCCGCCGCUUGUCGGCCGCCGGGGGGGCGCCUCUGCCCCCCGGGCCCGUGCCCGCCGGAGACCCCAACACGAACACUGUCUGAAAGCGUGCAGUCUGAGUUGAUUGAAUGCAAUCAGUUAAAACUUUCAACAAUGGAUCUCUUGGUUCCGGCAUCGAUGAAGAACGCAGCGAAAUGCGAUAACUAAUGUGAAUUGCAGAAUUCAGUGAAUCAUCGAGUCUUUGAACGCACAUUGCGCCCCCUGGUAUUCCGGGGGGCAUGCCUGUCCGAGCGUCAUUGCUGCCCUCAAGCCCGGCUUGUGUGUUGGGUCGCCGUCCCCCCGGAGAGGGGGACGGGCCCGAAAGGCAGCGGCGGCACCGCGUCCGAUCCUCGAGCGUAUGGGGCUUUGUCACAUGCUCUGUAGGAUUGGCCGGCGCCUGCCGACGUUUUCCAACCAUUCUUUCCAGGUUGACCUCGGAUCAGGUAGGGAUAC
rnacentral:rRNA from 1 species